CCUGCCCAUUGAUUUUUUUUAAAGGCCGCGGUAUUUUGACUGUGCAAAGGUAGCAUAAUAAUUAGCUUUUUAAUUGAAAGCUUGUAUGAACGGUUGGACAAAGAAGUAACUGUCUUUGGUGCACUGUUUGAACUUUACAUUUAAGUGAAAAGGCUUAAAUUAAUUUAAGGGACGACAAGACCCUAUAAAUCUUUACAUUUUAUUUGUUUUUUUUCUUUAGGUUUGCGAAAUUAAUUAAAAUACAAAAUAACAUGUUACAUUGGGGAGAUGAAGAUAUAAUAAUUAAACUGUCUUUAAACAAUAUAAACAAAUAUUAUUGAUUUACGGAGGAUCCUUUUUAGAGAUUAAAAGUUUAAGUUACUUUAGGGAUAACAGCGUAAUUUUUUUUGAGAGUUCAUAUCGAAAAAAAAGUUUGCGACCUCGAUGUUGAAUUAAAAAUUUCCUUAUGGUGAAGAAGUUAUAAAGGAGAGUCUGUUCGAC
rnacentral:rRNA from 1 species